rnacentral:lncRNA from 1 species
GAUGGGGACUCGAGGCUGCUCCAGGGACCUGACUCUGGACUAGGACACAGACUGGUCUUGGCCCAGGUGGACAGCCGUGACGAGGGCACUUACGUCUGUCGGACGCUGGAUGGUGUAUUUGGGGGCAUGGUGACCCUGAAGCUGGGCUGUGAGUUAGGAAAGGUGGCAGUGAGGGGCCAUGGGAGUCCCCCCUGGGAUGGAGCUAGGAACGGUCUCCAGCUGUGCCCUCUGUCCCCAGCCCCCCCAGCUCGGCCGGAGGUCUCCUGCCAAGCAGUAGACUAUGAAAACUUUUCUUGUACUUGGAGUCCAGGCCGGGUCAGCGGUUUGCCCACCCGCUACCUUACUUCCUACAGGUAUGUGUGGGUGUGUCUGGUAUGUGUGCC